rnacentral:tRNA from 1 species
GGGCCCAUAGUAAAGUGGCAUUACGCGUCCAUGGCAUGGAUGAGGUCGGGGUUCGAUUCCCCGUGGGUCCA